rnacentral:misc_RNA from 1 species
CCGACUCACUCCAAUCCCAAGAGCAAUGCCUCUCAUAGCAGUCAUGCUCCGGCUUACAUUAACCCGGAGCCUCAUAUAUCUUCCCAAUUCUACACAUUCAAUGUGGAGUCUCACUCUCUCAUGAUUAGCUGCAUUCUCGAGCACCGCCUCGCCACUCCCGACGAGAUCCGCGCCGCUACGCCGCGCUCUGUCUUGAAAUCGUGGCGCGCUGUUUGGAAGGACCGCAACGAGGACACCGCCUA